GACGAACGCUGGCGGCGUGCUUAACACAUGCAAGUCGAACGAUGAAGCCGGAGCUUGCUCCGGUGGAUUAGUGGUGAACGGGUGAGUAACACGUGAGCAAUCUGCCCUUGACUCUGGGAUAACUGCGGGAAACUGUAGCUAAUACCGGAUACGACACCUUGGGGCAUCCCAGGGUGUGGAAAGAAUUUCGGUCAAGGCUGAGCGCGCGGCCUAUCAGCUCUUUGGGGAGGGAAUGGCUCACCAAGGCGCCGACGGGUAGCCGGCCUGAGAGGGGGACCGUCCACACUGGAACUGAGACACGGUCCAGACUCCUACGGGAGGAAGCAGUGGGGAAUAUUGCACAAUGGGCGAAAGCCUGAUGCAGCAACGCCGCGUGAGGGAUGACGGCCUUCGGGUUGUAAACCUCUUUUAGCAGGGAAGAAGCGAAAGUGACGGUACCUGCAGAAAAAGCACCGGCUAACUACGUGCCAGCCGCCGCCGUAA
rnacentral:rRNA from 1 species